AGAGUUUGAUCAUGGCUCAGGACGAACGCUGGCGGCGUGCCUAAUACAUGCAAGUCGAGCGAAUCAUUAGGAGCUUGCUCCUGAUGGUUAGCGGCGGACGGGUGAGUAACACGUGGGCAACCUGCCUGUAAGACUGGGAUAACUUCGGGAAACCGGAGCUAAUACCGGAUAAUCCCUUCCCACACAUGAGGGAAAGCUGAAAGACGGUUUCGGCUGUCACUUACAGAUGGGCCCGCGGCGCAUUAGCUAGUUGGUGAGGUAACGGCUCACCAAGGCGACGAUGCGUAGCCGACCUGAGAGGGUGAUCGGCCACACUGGGACUGAGACACGGCCCAGACUCUUACGGGAGGCAGCAGUAGGGAAUCUUCCGCAAUGGACGAAAGUCUGACGGAGCAACGCCGCGUGAACGAUGAAGGCCUUCGGGUCGUAAAGUUCUGUUGUUAGGGAAGAACAAGUAUCGGAGUAACUGCCGGUACCUUGACGGUACCUAACCAGAAAGCCACGGCUAACUACGUGCCAGCAGCCGCGGUAAUACGUAGGUGGCAAGCGUUGUCCGGAAUUAUUGGGCGUAAAGCGCGCGCAGGCGGUUCCUUAAGUCUGAUGUGAAAGCCCCCGGCUCAACCGGGGAGGGUCAUUGGAAACUGGGGAACUUGAGUACUGA
rnacentral:rRNA from 1 species